GACGAACGCUGGCGGCGCGCCUAACACAUGCAAGUCGAACGGAGCUGAGAGAAGCUUGCUUUUCUUAGCUUAGUGGCGAACGGGUGAGUAACGCGUGAGUAACCUGCCCUGGAGUGGGGGACAACAGUUGGAAACGACUGCUAAUACCGCAUAAGCCCACGAUCCGGCAUCGGAUUGAGGGAAAAGGAUUUAUUCGCUUCAGGAUGGACUCGCGUCCAAUUAGCUAGUUGGUGAGGUAACGGCCCACCAAGGCGACGAUUGGUAGCCGGACUGAGAGGUUGAACGGCCACAUUGGGACUGGGGCACGGCCCAGACUCCUACGGGAGGCAGCAGUGGGGGAUAUUGCACAAUGGGGGAAACCCUGAUGCAGCGACGCCGCGUGGAGGAAGAAGGUUUUCGGAUUGUAAACUCCUGUCGUUAGGGACGAUAAUGACGGUACCUAACAAGAAAGCACCGGCUAACUACGUG
rnacentral:rRNA from 1 species